ensembl:lncRNA
GAAAUGGCAUAAAGUGGAUAUAUUUUUGAUGCCUUUUAGCAUCUAACUAGUACAUUGACAAGUUGGAAAUUGGACAUGUAACACAGCCUAAGAAACAAGAAUUUAAUCAUUAUCAUUCAGUAGUUUAUGAAGACUAUUGGGUAUAAAAUACCAUGUUUCACUAACAGGAAAAUGAAUACGUAACAUUUGUUUACUUCACUGGAAAGUUCAAGUGAAUUAGGUUUUCCAGUAUUUGAUUCUACAAGGCAGAUGACAUCUUGGACCUCCAGCAAAAGUCUAGCUGAAAGGACUUACAUGGAAGGAACUCUUAGUCUAACAUGCUUGCCAAGUCACCUUGCAAGAGAGGCUAAAUUUUGAUCUUUGCAAAUACAGAAGAAAGUAGAGCAAAGCUGCUGAAGCCUACACACCCUGGAGCCUGGGCUCCGCACCGAGAGAAGCCACCAUAAUGAGAAGCCUGCGCACCACUGCUAGAGAGGAGCCCCAGCUCGCCGCAGCUAGGGAAAAGGGCCUUGUGGCAGCGAAGACGGCACACAGCCAAAAAUUAAAUAAAUAAAUAAAAUGAUUAAAAACCAU